rnacentral:pre_miRNA from 1 species
AGCUGGAUCCUGGGCUGUGUCCCCUGGCGCCCUGGGCUCCCGGGCCUGUGCCGCUGGAAUUGUGCUCCUGGGGCCGCGCAG